UACGUAGGCAGCGAGCGUUGUUCGGAAUUACUGGGCGUAAAGAGUGUGUAGGCGGUGUUCCCAGUCUGUUGUGAAAUCUCCCGGCUUAACUGGGAGGGUGCAGCGGAAACUAGAAUGCUAGAGGGUGGGAGAGGUAAGCGGAAUUCCUAGUGUAGCGGUGAAAUGCGUAGAGAUUAGGAAGAACACCAGUGGCGAAGGCGACUUACUGGACUGUAACUGACGCUGAGGCAUGAAAGCGUGGGGAGCAAACAGG
rnacentral:rRNA from 1 species